AAUUACAGCUAUACCACUCUGAAUAUGCCUGAUCUCAUCUGAUCUCAGAAGCUCAGCAGGGUGAGGCCUGGUUAGUACUUGGAUGGAAGCCUGGGUAUGCCAGGUGCUGUAGGUG
rnacentral:rRNA from 1 species